rfam:Ictidomys tridecemlineatus contig088543, whole genome shotgun sequence.
GGGGGUGUAGCUCAGUGGUAGAGCACUUGCCUAGGAUACACAAGGCCUGGGUGCCAUUCCCAGCACCACGG